UACGGAGGGUGCAAGCGUUAUCCGGAUUUACUGGGUUUAAAGGGUGUGUAGGCGGACUUUUAAGUCAGCGGUGAAAUCUCCGGGCUCAACCCGGAAACUGCCAUUGAUACUAUUGGUCUUGAAUGUUGUUGAGGUGGGCGGAACGGGUCAUGUAGCGGUGAAAUGCAUAGAUAUGACCCGGAACACCGAUUGCGAAGGCAGCCCACUAAGCAACGAUUGACGCUGAGGCACGAAAGCGUGGGGAGCAAACAGG
rnacentral:rRNA from 1 species